GACGAACGCUGGCGGCGUGCUUAACACAUGCAAGUCGAACGGAGUGGCGAACGGGUGAGUAAUACGUGAGUAACCUGCCUUCUUCUUUGGGAUAAGCCUGGGAAACUGGGUCUAAUACUGGAUAGUGGGGGAUGGGCUCACGGCCUAUCAGCUUGUUGGUGGGGUGAUGGCCUACCAAGGCGGUGACGGGUAGCCGGCCUGAGAGGGUGACCGGCCACAUUGGGACUGAGAUACGGCCCAGACUCCUACGGGAGGCAGCAGUGGGGAAUAUUGCACAAUGGACGGAAGCCUGAUCCAGCCAUGCCGCGUGUGUGAAGAAGGUCUUCGGAUUGUAAAGCACUUUAAGUUGGGAGGCGUUACCAACAGAAUAAGCACCGGCUAACUUCGUGCCAGCAGCCGCGGUAAUAC
rnacentral:rRNA from 1 species